CUAAGUGUGAAAUCCCGUGAGAUUCUGUGGGAUUUUAGUUUUAAAAAGUAGGGCGGUGCCCAUUGUUUGGUCAUGAACAAGGAAGUUGUUUGGUCUCAUGAACAAGGAAGUUCAGGGCUGGCUGUUGCAGUUUCUAGAUGCCUGUACUCUACACUGAAUGGGUAUUCUUAUGGCUUAGAAAUGGGAAGCAAUGAACUGGCCAGGUCCUCAUUUGAUGGCGAGCUACCCACUAGGCCUUUAGGCCAAGGAACCUGGAUAGACUGCUAAAUCUCUAUCUGUGUGAUAGGAGACAUUGUUGCCUGCCCCACCCCAUCCAAAGGAUUCAAGUCAACGUUUAAAUCGACUAAGACUAGUACUUUGGACUUUUGGAAUGUUACAACUUGGAAUGUUACGGCGUGUGCAGGAUUUUGGUUUUGACAAAGUUUGUCUGUAUAUAUUGUAAAUAGUCUUCGUAGUAUAAAUCACUUUCUGCACAAA